rnacentral:rRNA from 1 species
UACGGGGGGGGCAAGCGUUGUUCGGAAUUACUGGGCGUAAAGGGUCUGUAGGUGGCCAACUAAGUCAGACGUGAAAUCCCUCAGCUUAACUGGGGAACUGCGUCUGAUACUGGUUGGCUUGAGUGCAGGAGAGGAAUGCGGAAUUCCAGGUGUAGCGGUGAAAUGCGUAGAUAUCUGGAGGAACACCGGUGGCGAAGGCGGCAUUCUGGACCAGCACUGACGCUGAGGCACGAAAGCGUGGGGAGCAAACAGG